ACAUGAUCUAUGCUAGGAGAGAGAACUCUUACCCUGCGGCCAGUCGCAACUGGUGUAGCAGAAAUAUUGAAUAAGUGGAGCUUAUUGCCACCAGUUGGUGCUACGUGCUGGAUUCAACCAGAACCAUGGUAAAAUUCAGCUGCUCUCACCUUAAAGAUGAAGCCGAACUGACAAUAACUCCCCGCCCAUCCAGUGCCUAAAAUUUCUGAACAGAACAAGAAAGUUCUACUGUUGGUAUAUUUCGACCUGAGUCUGCUGAUUUGGACUUGUGCCUCAAUUGGGUCGAGUUGACUAUGGCAAACCGAGACCGGUGCUGCAGUAUUCAGGCCAUGGGCACAGGGCAGUGGAGUUGAGACUUCAGAGUUGAGAGCUCUGUCCUGAGCUUAAUUUCUCCAUCUUCCGGGCUCUCUAGCGCUCUGAGCUCUGCAGAGCUUGACCUGAUCACAUCAAUCGUGUAUAUGACAGAGGACGAUGCUCUAUGCUAGGAGAGAGAACUCUUACCCUGCGUCGCCCUUAUUGGAAUCAGCCUGGGUGCUGGAUCCAAGCAGAAGCAUGGUAAAAUUUCAGCUUCUCUCGCCUUUCGGAUGAAGCCGAAACCGAUGAGAACUCCCCGCACAUCCAGUUCCUACAAUUCCAUAACAGAUCAAGAAAGUUCCAGCGUUAGUACAUUUCAACGUGAGGCUGUGCCGAUUUGGACUUGUGCCUCAACUGGCUCCGGUUGAUUCUGGGAAACGGAGACCGAUGCUGCAGUGUUCCUGCCAUAGGCACAGGAAACCUGAUCUAUGAGUGGGUUGCUCCAUUUCAUCAGCCACCAGCUGGUGCUACAUGCUGGGUUCAGCCAGAAGCAUGGUAAAAUUUCAGCUGCUCUCACCUUAAAGAUGAAGCCAAACCGACAGAGAACUCCCCGCCCAUCCAGUGCCUACAAUUUCUGAACAGAUCAAGAAUGUUCUACCAUCAGUACAUUUCGAACUGAGUUGCCGAUUGGACUUGCCUCAACUAGGUUGAGUUGACCUUGGGAAGCGGAGACUGGUACUGCAGCGUUCAGGCCAUGGGCACAGAACAGUAGAGUUGGGACGUCAGAGUUGAGAGCUUGGUCGUGAGCUUAAUUUUUCAAUCUUCCAGGCUCUCUAGCACUAUGAGCUCUGCGGAGCUUGACCUGAUUGCAUCACUCGUGUAUAUGACAGAUAGGAGGACGAUGCUCUAUGCUAGGAGAGAGAACUCUUACCCUGCGUCACCUGUGACCUAUCGCGACUGGUGUAGCACAAACAUUGAAUAAGUGGGGCUAUUGAUGGAAUAAGUCAGAUGUACUAGAAGGGACAACUAAGAGACAUACAUGGCCCUACCUAUGUCGAUGGUUCAUCAUCUUAGGUUUAG